GGUUUUGUAAUGUAAAUUAACAUAAUAAAUUGCAAAUUUGUGAAUACGAAGUAGUUUUCGUCAAAACUU
rnacentral:tRNA from 1 species